GGACCCGCACAAGCAGCGGAGCGUGUGGUUUAAUUCGAGGCUACGCGAAGAACCUUACCAGGGAUUGACAUGACCGUAGUAGUGAAGCGAAAGCGGAACGACCCUUCGGGGAGCGGUCACAGGUGAUGCAUGGCUGUCGUCAGCUCGUGCCGUGAGGUGUUUGGUUAAGUCCACUAACGAGCGCAACCCUUAGCGCCAGUUACACGUGUCUGGCGCGACUGCCGGUAUUAAGCCGGAGGAAGGUGGGGAUGACGUCAAGUCAGCAUGUCCUUUAUACCCUGGGCGACACACACGCUACAAUGGCCAGCACAAUGGGUCGCCAAGCCGUGAGGCGGAGCCAAUCCACCAAAGCUGGUCUCAGUUCGGAUUGCAGGCUGCAACCCGCCUGCAUGAAGUCGGAGUUGCUAGUAACCGCAGGACAGCUAUACUGCGGUGAAUACGUUCCCGGGUCUU
rnacentral:rRNA from 1 species